AGGAAACAAGAGCGUAUGGUGGAUGCCUUGGCUCCAAAAGGCGAUGAAGGACGUAGCUUGGCUGCGAUAAGCUUCGGGGAGGUGCCUAGCAACCUUUGAUCCGGAGAUGUCCGAAUGGGGAAACCUGUUGCGGUCAAACCGCAACGUCGUGCUUCGCUUUCGUUCAGCACAACCGCCGAACUAUGCCGAAUUGACCCAAAACAGCGCGGAGAUCUUCCGCGCCGUUCCCCGCCUGCCGGCCGGCAGGCGGGUCAGUUCCGGAUCGUUUCUGCGGUGCCGGAUGAGAGCGAGGCACGAUGCACACCCGGGGAAGUAAAACAUUUCAGUACCCGGAGGAGGAGAAACCAAUUGGAAUUCCGUAAGUAGCGGCGAGCGAAAGCGGAUGAGCCUAAACCGAUGCUUCGCACCGGGCGUUUAAAUGUGCAGACAUUUAAAUAUCCGUUGCGGAGCAGCGGUGUUGUAAGACGGAAACGCAGCUUUUUAAGCCGGAGAAGUCACAAAAUGUUUGGUUAGCCGAACGCGCUGGAAAGCGCGGCCCAAGAAGGUAAUGGCCCUGUAGGCGAAAAUCAAACAUCUUCUUAGUUUCUGUUCUUGAGUACUUCGAGACACGAAUAGCUCGGAGGAAUCCGCCGGAACUAACCGGCAAGGCUAAAUACUUUUGGAGACCGAUAGUGAACUAGUACCGUGAGGGAAAGGUGAAAAGCAGCCCGGUGAGGGCGGUGAAAUAGACCUGAAACCAUAUGCUUACAAGGAGUCACAGCGGUGCUUCGCACCGAGAUUUAAAUAUGUGGAUAUUUAAGUUUCGGCGCGGAGCGCCGUAGUGGCGUGCCUAUUGAAGAAUGAGCCAACGAGUUGAUGUAUGUCGCGAGGCUAAGCGCCGGAAAGCGCGGAGCCGUAGGGAAACCGAGUGUGAACAGCGCGUAUGCCGUCGUUCCUCACUGCGCUUGGAACGGGGACGCGUGAAUUUGCAAAAUGGGCGAAGGAUGCGAAUUGGAGUUCAUUCGCGCCGGUCGCCCCAACACCCCCGCCGGCUGGCGGCGGGGGGGUGGGUGCUAAAUUUGCGCGUUUUGCGUGGCCAAGGCGGCGAGGAGCGACGGUGGUGGCAUGCAUCAGACCCGAAGCCGGGUGAGCUUACCAUGGGCAGGGUGAACCCCGCCGAAGGGCGGGGGGAGGCCCGAACGGGUUAGCCGUGCAAUACUAUCCGAUGACCUGUGGUAAGGAGUGAAAAGCUAAUCGAACCCGGGAAUAGCUGGUUCUCUCCGAAAUAGCUUUAGGGCUAGCGUCACGCGUUCCUUUGGGGGGUAGAGCACUGGAUGGUCAGGACAGGGCGAAAGCUCACUUGACCAAUCAAACUCCGAAUACCCAAAGAUCUUGUGCGAAGCACAAGAUAUUUAAGUUUGACUUAAAUAUCUCGCGCUUCGCGCGAGUGAGCGUGGCAGUAAGACCGUGGGGGCUAAGCUUCACUGGUCAAAAGGGAAACAGCCCAUGAUCUCCAGCUAAGGUCCCUAAAUCAGCGCUCAGUGCGUCACAAGGUAGUGGCGGUGCUUUAACAGUGAGGAGGUAGGCUUAGAAGCAGCCAUCCUUUAAAGAUAGCGUAACAGCUCACUCAUCGAGCACUGCUGCGCCGAAGAUGAUCGGGGCUUAAGCGUUGUACCGAAGCUGAGGGCUGCGGCACAUUGCAUUGGGUGUGAUGCGCGGGGUUUAGAUGUUUAAACAUUUAAAUUUCGCCCAUCGCGCUCGGCGCGAUGUGGCGCAGCGGUAGGAGAGUAUUCUCAUCGCGAUGAAGGCGAAGGCGCGAGCCGCGCUCAAGCGUUGAGAAGUAAGAAUGUUGGCACGAGUAACCACAAUGGGGGUGGGAAACCCCUACGCCGAAAGACCAAGGUUUCCUUGGCAAUGAUUGUCAACCAAGGGUUAGUCGGUCCUAAGGGGAUGGCGAAAGCCGAACCCGAUGGACACACGGUUAAUAUUCCGUGACCCGGGCACUUUUUCGAAGGGGUGACGAAGGAAAUGAGCGGGAGCGCUUUAUUGGAUUAGACGCUGUCGGCGCGAGGAAUGCUUCCCAGGCAAAUCCGGGGAGCCGGCUUUAGUGCCGAAUUCCGGGCGCCGGCAAAAUUUCUGCCGCAAGGCAGGGAAAUUUCCGCGAAGAGCUUUCCGAGAAAAACCUCGCAGAGUUAAAAGUGCUCGGUCCGUACCGCAAACCGACACAGGUGGUCUGCUCGAGUAGAGCAAGGCGAACGAGUGAGAGAUCUCCAAGGAACUCGGCAAAAAAGCGGCCGUAAGUUAGCGAUAAGGCCUUCCAGCCGUAGAUUUAGUUUUUGAAUUUGAAUUAUGUUCACGCGGGUUGUGUGCGUCAUACAACAUAACCGGACAACGGAUCGAAUUAAGAAAAGUUUGCUCAAAAACUAAAUCUACGGCUGGACGCAGCUAAAGUAUGCCUGGCGACUGUUUAUCAAAAACACAGCUCCCUGCGAACUCGUAAGAGGAUGUAUAGGGGGUGACACUUGACCAAUGCCAGAAGGUCAAACUUCGGGGGUCGGAGGCCGGACAUCGGAUGUCAGAAUUUUCUGAUCUCCGAUUUCCGGCUUCUGGCUGGCUGAAGUAAGCCCUGGUGAAUGUCGGCAAUAACUAUAAUUGUCCUAAGGUUCUCGGCUUAUCGGGAACGAUGAACCGAGAAGGACUGGGACGAUUUAGUUAGGAGAAUUGAUAAACAAUCAAAAUAAAUUACACUAAAAAAGAAAGCUGCCUAUCUACAUAGCAAAAAUGUAGAUGUCCUAAUAAAUAUCUGGCUAUAUGCUGGGAAGUCCGUUGUAUCCGGCGGUACUCGCGGAGAGUAACAAUCCGUCCGGUGCGGACAAUCAGCAGGAAAACGAGAGUUGAAGAUAAUUAAAGUCCCUUUAUAAUGGUUCUAAUGAGUGAAAGAAUUAACUUCAGACCAACUCGAUUGAAAGGUGUCUGUACGUUGUUGGUGUCGGUUGCAUUAUCAAUAUGGGUAUAUGUUGAGACUUUUGUCUACGAUUGCCCAUCGUGCAUUGAACCGGCUAAGCGUGAAGCUGCAGUACAGGCAUUCAUUAUCAGCUUCGCAGUGGUUUAUCUGGUGUGGAGCUUGGUACAAAAGAGAGGGCCAAACAAUCUCGAAUCCCCAGAAACCAAACGCUAGACUCCGAUGUCAUAUCGGAGAAGAUAGAGUUCGUCCUGCAUGGCGACAUGCAGAUUAACAAAAGAUAGCGCAAUUCCUUGCGGGGUAAGUUCCCGCGCGUUGAAUAGUGUAACGACUGGGCAACUGUCUCGGAGAUUCGCUCGGUGAAAAUACAAUACCGGUGAAGAUGCCGGUUACCUGCAGCUAGACGAAAAGACCCCGGAAGCUUUACUGCAACUUGGUAUUGCUCGUAUGUUACGGAUGCGUAGCGUAGGCGGGAGACUUUGAAGUGCCGCUCUCGGGCGGCAUGGAGUCGCCGAUGAAACACCGCUCUUUCGUGAUGUAUGCGCUAAUCUCGACGGCAAAAACGUCGGGAGACAGUGCCUGGUGGGUAGUUUUGGUGGGGCACUAUCCUCCUAAAAAGUAAUGGAGGAGUCCAUUAAGGUCGGCUAGGCGCGGAUGGAAACCGUGCCGGUAGUGUAUAGGCGUAAGCCGGCUUAACUGCGAGGGGGACAUCCCGAGCAGACGCGAAAGCGGGGCUAAGUGAACCGACGGUCCGCGUUAGACGCGGCCGGAGAUUAACGGAUAAAAGCUACUCCGGGGAUAACAGGCUAGUUCCGCCUAAGAGUUCAUAUCGACGGCGGAGUUCGGCACCUUAACGCAUCGGGGUGCUAUGCAAGUAAUUGCAUCAUAUAGCCAGCCCCAUUAUUCAAGUGUAGGAGCUUGGUGAAUGGGAUAAAAUCGUGGCUUAUAACGGUGAACUCCAUAUGCAUAUGGUCAAAAAGUAUGGACAACACCGUGGGAAGUUUAACUUAAAUUGAAAAGGCGGCCGUAAUCGGUAAUCGGUGAGUUUUUAGUGACGUUACUUAAUGAAUUCGUAUGUUGUCCCAAGCAGCGCCGCAAGUUAAGUUAUAACCCCGUAGAGACUAAUUUCGAAAGAAGUUGAGUAAGAAUUAAAAUUCUUGCUAAGACGCCACCGCCAGCAUCGGCAUCUUUUGAUGAUCCGCUGGAUGAAGAUAUAGUCCGAACCUGCGAGUAAUCGCAGACAAAUACGACAGCGAUGUCGGCUCACCUUAUCCUCGGGCUGGAGAAGGUCCGAAGGGUUUGGCUGUUCGCCAAUUAAAAAGGUACGUGAGCUGGGUUCAAACCGUCGUGAGACAGGUUGGUCUCCUAUCUGCUGCAGGCGCUGAUUCUUGAGGGGAUUCUUUGAUAGUACGAGAGGACCUCAAAGAACGGACCUCUGGUGUGCCGGCUGUCCUGCCAAGGGCAUCGCCGGGUAGCUAAGUCCGGAACGGAUAAUCGCUGAAAGCAUCUAAGCGAGAAGCCGUCCCCAAGAUUAGGAAUCGA
rnacentral:rRNA from 1 species